rfam:Erinaceus europaeus unplaced genomic scaffold scaffold00669, whole genome shotgun sequence
AUGAAGUGAUAAUUCAGUUUACCCAUUUGCUGAGUACACAGGUGCUAACCUUCUUCCAACCCUCAGUUCCUAUUCUAGGAACAGGGAUACAUAGCCUCCAAAUACCCUGCAGUCUGCAGUGUUCGACUGUAGACAGCUUGUGUAUUGGUGGACUAUUAAUAAGAAUGACCGGUGUCAGCAGGGAUUGGUCUUUUUGGGCUCUAUCUCACUGAGAUGAGUGUUGGUAAAGAAAAAGAA